UGGGGAAUAUUGCACAAUGGGCGCAAGCCUGAUGCAGCCAUGCCGCGUGUGUGAAGAAGGCCUUCGGGUUGUAAAGCACUUUCAGCGAGGAGGAAGGUGGUGAACUUAAUACGUUCAUCAAUUGACGUUACUCGCAGAAGAAGCACCGGCUAACUCCGUGCCAGCAGCCGCGGUAAUACGGAGGGUGCAAGCGUUAAUCGGAAUUACUGGGCGUAAAGCGCACGCAGGCGGUUUGUUAAGUCAGAUGUGAAAUCCCCGGGCUCAACCUGGGAACUGCAUUUGAAACUGGCAAGCUAGAGUCUCGUAGAGGGGGGUAGAAUUCCAGGUGUAGCGGUGAAAUGCGUAGAGAUCUGGAGGAAUACCGGUGGCGAAGGCGGCCCCCUGGACGAAGACUGACGCUCAGGUGCGAAAGCGUGGGCAGGCAAAACAGGAUUAGAUACCCUGGUAGUCCACGCUGUAAACGAUGUCGAUUUUGGAGGUUGUGCCCUUGAGGCGUGGCUUCCGGAGCUAACGCGUUAAAUCGACCGCCUGGGGAGUACGGCCGCAAGGUUAAAACUCAAAUGAAUUG
rnacentral:rRNA from 1 species